UUUAAGUGCAACCAUAAGUUUUCUAUACCCAACUUUGAUCGUCCGUCUUAUUUAAAAUUUUUAUAAUUAGUAAUUUUAUUGUUAUGAGAUGAUAAAAUAUGAAUAGUACUUUAUAUGUAAUAUGUUUUUAAAUUUUUCAAAAAAAAUUCAAAUAAGAUGGACGGUCAAAGUUGUGCAUGAAAAAAUAAUGGUUGCACUUAAA
rfam:Oryza meridionalis cultivar OR44 (W2112) chromosome 1, whole genome shotgun sequence.